ACGGGUGAGUAACGCGUGGGAAUCUACCGUGCCCUGCGGAAUAGCUCCGGGAAACUGGAAUUAAUACCGCAUACGCCCUACGGGGGAAAGAUUUAUCGGGGUAUGAUGAGCCCGCGUUGGGUUAGCUAGUUGGUGGGGUAAAGGCCUACCAAGGCGACGAUCCAUAGCUGGUCUGAGAGGAUGAUCAGCCACAUUGGGACUGAGACACGGCCCAAACUCCUACGGGAGGCAGCAGUGGGGAAUAUUGGACAAUGGGCGCAAGCCUGAUCCAGCCAUGCCGCGUGAGUGAUGAAGGCCUUAGGGUUGUAAAGCUCUUUCACCGGAGAAGAUAAUGACGGUAUCCGGAGAAGAAGCCCCGGCUAACUUCGUGCCAGCAGCCGCGGUAAUACGAAGGGGGCUAGCGUUGUUCGGAAUUACUGGGCGUAAAGCGCACGUAGGCGGAUAUUUAAGUCAGGGGUGAAAUCCCAGAGCUCAACUCUGGAACUGCCUUUGAUACUGGGUAUCUUGAGUAUGGAAGAGGUAAGUGGAAUUCCGAGUGUAGAGGUGAAAUUCGUAGA
rnacentral:rRNA from 1 species